UGCCAUCACUGAUUUUGAUAUAGUUUC
rnacentral:sRNA from 1 species